AAUCUAAACUGAUAUAAAAUAAAUUAUAUUAAAGUUAUAAUGUAAAUGAACCAAUAUUUCUAUUUUAAUAUAAGCAUAUACUAAUCAUAAAUAUACGGAUGUUUAAUGAGAUAUUUUGGAAUAGUUGUGCCAGUUUAACUGGACGUGGAUGAUGCUAGGACGGCUUGUUCUUUUUUUGAAUAGAGCAUGUCUAAUUUGUAUAAUGGCUCUCAUUGCUAGUCAUAAUCCAAAUGAUAUCCAGUCUAAAGAUUAUAGUUAUCUAAAUCAUAAUUAGAGCUUGAAUUGGAAGGUAAAUUAUUUGCAUACGGAGAAUAAUAUUGUUUUUUUAUUUAUUUUUUUAUUCUUAUCAAAGGUGAUUUAUAACCAUCACAGUUAAGGUCCCAAAAGUUUUCAAAUUUUGCUUAUUAUUCAUAGGACUUAAUUGUCUGAUUGGACAUCGUCACUUUAACUGGAAAAAAAUGAAUAAUAUAGAUGUUAUAAUUUAUAUUAUAGAUUGGUGAUAAAUUUGAUGAUUUUUAAUGAGAUAUUUUGGAAUUGUUUUGCCAGUUAACCUGGAAGUGGAUGAUGCUAUGACGGUUUGUUGUUCUUUUUUUGAAUAGAGAAUGACUUAUUUGUAUAAUGGCUCUCAUUGCUAGUCAUAAUCCAAAUGAUAUCCAGUCUAAAGAUUAUAGUUAUCUUAAUCAUAAUUAGCAUUUGAUUUGGAUGGUAAAGGAUUUGAAUAUGGAGAAUUAUAUGGUCUUUUUAAUUGCCCUUAUAAUCUUAUCAAAGGUGACUUAUAACCAUCACAGUUAAGGUCCCAAAGCUUUUCAAUUGUUGCUUAUUUUUCAUUUGACCUAGUUGUCAGACUGGUCAUCUCCUGAACUGAAAAAUAUGAACAACAUAGAUGUUAUAAUGUAAAUGAAAAACUAUUUGUAUCCUAAUAUAGAUGUGUAUUAUAGAUUUAUCAUAAAUAUACAGAUGUAUCAAAAGAAAUUAUUAUUGUUUUUCGUUAGUUUCUAUUGCCC